UACGUAGGGCGCAAGCGUUGUCCGGAAUUAUUGGGCGUAAAGAGCUCGUAGGCGGUUUGUCGCGUCUGCUGUGAAAACCUAAGGCUCAACCUUGGGCUUGCAGUGGGUACGGGCAGACUAGAGUGCGGUAGGGGUGACUGGAAUUCCUGGUGUAGCGGUGGAAUGCGCAGAUAUCAGGAGGAACACCGAUGGCGAAGGCAGGAUCACUGGGCCGCAACUGACGCUGAGGAGCGAAAGCAUGGGGAGCGAACAGGA
rnacentral:rRNA from 1 species